GCUCGCAGGCGGUUUCUUAAGUCUGAUGUGAAAGCCCCCGGCUCAACCGGGGAGGGUCAUUGGAAACUGGGAAACUUGAGUGCAGAAGAGGAGAGUGGAAUUCCACGUGUAGCGGUGAAAUGCGUAGAGAUGUGGAGGAACACCAGUGGCGAAGGCGACUCUCUGGUCUGUAACUGACGCUGAGGAGCGAAAGCGUGGGGAGCGAACAGGAUUAGAUACCCUGGUAGUCCACGCCGUAAACGAUGAGUGCUAAGUGUUAGGGGGUUUCCGCCCCUUAGUGCUGCAGCUAACGCAUUAAGCACUCCGCCUGGGGAGUACGGUCGCAAGACUGAAACUCAAAGGAAUUGACGGGGGCCCGCACAAGCGGUGGAGCAUGUGGUUUAAUUCGAAGCAACGCGAAGAACCUUACCAGGUCUUGACAUCCUCUGACAACCCUAGAGAUAGGGCUUUCCCUUCGGGGACAGAGUGACAGGUGGUGCAUGGUUGUCGUCAGCUCGUGUCGUGAGAUGUUGGGUUAAGUCCCGCAACGAGCGCAACCCUUGAUCUUAGUUGCCAGCAUUCAGUUGGGCACUCUAAGGUGACUGCCG
rnacentral:rRNA from 1 species